GUGGGGAAUUUUGGACAAUGGGGGCAACCCUGAUCCAGCCAUCCCGCGUGUGCGAUGAAGGCCUUCGGGUUGUAAAGCACUUUUGGCAGGGAAGAAAAGGCGCAGGUUAAUACCCUGUGCUGCUGACGGUACCUGCAGAAUAAGCACCGGCUAACUACGUGCCAGCAGCCGCGGUAAUACGUAGGGUGCGAGCGUUAAUCGGAAUUACUGGGCGUAAAGCGUGCGCAGGCGGCUCUGCAAGACAGAUGUGAAAGCCCCGGGCUCAACCUGGGAACUGCAUUUGUGACUGCAAGGCUAGAGUGCGUCAGAGGGAGGUGGAAUUCCGCGUGUAGCAGUGAAAUGCGUAGAUAUGCGGAGGAACACCGAUGGCGAAGGCAAUCCCCUGGGCCUGCACUGACGCUCAUGCACGAAAGCGUGGGGAGCAAACAGGAUUAGAAACCCCGGUAGUCC
rnacentral:rRNA from 1 species